ACUGGGGGAUAGCCCGGAGAAAUCUGGAUUAAUACCCCAUGGUACAUAUUGAGGGCAUCUGAUAUAUGUUAAAGAUUUAUUGGUAUGAGAUGGGCAUGCGUCUGAUUAGCUAGUUGGCGGGGUAACGGCCCACCAAGGCGACGAUCAGUAGGGGUUCUGAGAGGAAGGUCCCCCACACUGGCACUGAGAUACGGGCCAGACUCCUACGGGAGGCAGCAGUAGGGAAUAUUGGGCAAUGGUCGGAAGACUGACCCAGCCAUGCCGCGUGCAGGAAGACGGCCCUCUGGGUUGUAAACUGCUUUUAUCUGGGAAGAAAAAGGCCAUGCGUGGCAAAUUGCCGGUACCAGAUGAAUAAGCACCGGCUAACUCCGUGCCAGCAGCCGCGGUAAUACGGAGGGUGCAAGCGUUGUCCGGAUUUAUUGGGUUUAAAGGGUGCGUAGGCGGCUAUUUAAGUCAGCGGUGAAAGACUCCGGCUUAACCGGAGCAGUGCCAUUGAUACUGGAUAGCUUGAGUGUUGGAGGGGUACAUGGAAUUGAUGGUGUAGCGGUGAAAUGCAUAGAUACCAUCAGGAACACCGAUAGCGAAGGCAUUGUACUGGCCAACAACUGACGCUGAGGCACGAAAGUGUGGGGAUCGAACAGGAUUAGAUACCCUGGUAGUCCACACUGUAAACGAUGAUUACUCGCUGUUAUGGAGUAUUCUGUAGCGGCCAAGCGAAAGCGUUAAGUAAUCCACCUGGGGAGUACGCCGGCAACGGUGAAACUCAAAGGAAUUGACGGGGGUCCGCACAAGCGGUGGAGCAUGU
rnacentral:rRNA from 1 species